UAUAUUUUCUUUCAUUUGUUUUUACGUUAUUUUGUACAAUUUUUAAUCCAAAGAAUAUAUGCUACGUAAAUAUGCCAUCUGAUAAAUAAUGAUAACUAAGAAAUCAAAUCUUAACAUAACUCAAACUUUCCGAAAUAUUGCCGUUCGCAAAAUCACCAACACUCCACCUUUAGUUUCUAGCGUAAACAAUUCAUAAUCUAUAAAAAGAUUUUUUCAGACUGGGAAAUUUCUGAAAUCCACUCAUUAAUGCCUUACACAGGUACUUACUCCCUCUUUUCCCGAAAAUCUCAGCUGCAGACUUAAAAAAAAAGUGCCAAAUGGUGCCGUGAUCUAUUGAUUGAAAAUAUUCUAAUAUACAAGCUAAUUAAUUAUUAAUGGGUAGCUUCUUAAGCUCGUCACCAAAUUAUCUUACUCACCUCUUAAUAGGUACUUAUUGUGCAUAUUUAUAUACUUUUGUAUUACAUUAAAAAAAAAAAUAAAUGUUCAGCAAUAAAUUAAAAUUUACAAUUAGAAUUGAAUUGAUACUAUUUGAGCCAAGAAUAAUUAUGUUAUUUAUAUACCGAAUCGUGAAAGUUUUGCGUGUUUGUUAAGUAGUUAAGUGAGAUAGGUACACCUAUUCAAUGACGCCAAACAGCUGAAUGGAUUUGGAUGAAAUUUUACAUAGAGAUGAAGUAGAAUUUCUAGAAAAAGAUGUAUCAAAAAUAAUUUGUGCGUAUUGACCGAUAGUCAAUUUAUUCGUGAAGAGGGGAAAGUUAGAAAGGCGUAUGAAACAUUUUCGUGUAGAGUACUGUAACGCGGAAAAAAAAAAAACUAUGUCACUCACGGCAGAGUAUGCAGGUACCAGCUAUAAUACUAUAAAUGCGAACAUUCUGUUUGGUUAUUAUGUUUUGAAGGCCGAACGUCUAAACAGAUUUUGAAGAAAUUCGAUAUGGAGAUGGAAUAUAUUCAGAUAUAGGAUACCUCGGUGACACUGAUGAAAUAAAAAAAAAAAAAAAACAGUUGUUAUUACGGAAACAAGCAAAUAGGUUUAAAUUGAUUUUUUACACAGCUGUACACGGCAAAGUCAAUCAGGACAGCUAGUUUUAUGUAUUAAGAGAUUGUGGCCUAC